UGUGCGAGUGGAAAAAGAUAACACACGACCUUGUCACCUCUCUUUGGAUAGGAUGCUGUAUGGUCAUUGGUCAGGGCCUGCAUUUGUUCAUGCAUCUCUAAAAUGUAACUGAAUCUCCAUUUAGAUUCAAAUGCUUAAAGGGUUAAAAAAAAUAGAAUAGAGUACUGGCACAUAUUUUUGUAGAUUGAAGUCAUAAAAUGGAAAUUUUUGUACUCAUUUCUGGCUACCAUUGAGAAAUUUCACUGUAUCAAACGAAUGCAUCCAGUUGGCUUUGGUUCUUUAGAAAACCAUUCCCAGAUAUCAAAUUCUAGUUGCAAGAAAGCUAGCCACUCGUAUGUCUAUCUGGAGAUAUAGUCAUUUUGAUGACUGAAGCUUUAAAUCCGCACUCUAUUGUUGAAAUUUGCAGGGAGGUCAAAGCAAGCUAGGGCAAACCCCCAGGAAAUCUGACAAUGAUGUAAGUACCCCAAGGUUGCUGGGGACUGCUGGUGAGCCUUUUCCUGUAAACAAGAGAUAAGAAAGGAUAUACAUUUGUGUGCUUAUUGCAACAGUUUUGAGAAGAGAGGUAGUUUUUGUCCAUACUACAAUAAAUAUGGAAUAAAUGCUUGUAACAUAUGGAAAUUGAGUGUACUGAGUAGACUAUCUACUCCUUUCAGCUACAUACUCUUCUGUUGCGGUUGUUUUUGACGUGUAAUGUUUCUUGAGAACAAACUGUGCAGUUAAAUUUGAUUUAAGGGGUUAAACCAUUCCAUAGUUUACAAGUUUAGGGAGUAAAUAAUAUGAUUAUAAAAUUGGUAGAGUAAAAUAACUUUUUGUAAAAAAAGGUCAAACGCUAAAUUAUACAUUCUGCCAAUACACCUAUAUUAACAAGGAAUACAGAGCAUGUCCAACUCUAGUGGUGUAGGGUUUACUGCGAAACUUAAAUCACUAGGAAAAAAAAAAGAAAUUAUAAAAUGCGAUACAAUGCAAGUCUAUAAGGAUAAUGCAUAAUCAUUUUUUAAAUGGUUUGUAAUUAUUUUUUACAUUAAUAUCAUCAUACAUAUAUAUGUCUUAGUUUUAAAUUAUUUUUGAAGGAUAUCAAAUAUUUCUAUUGAUUUAAUUCACAACAAAACCAAUCACGUGAUGUAUUAACUCUACCUACAAAUUUCUUGUGGCAUACCACAUGCAACUAUUCUGGCUCUCCUUGGCCUCUUUACUGGGCACUGAACCGUCCCCUGCCAGGCUGCUACGUUGAACUGCAGUGGCCCUACUACUCUGUACUCAGCCGAGUUGCUGCACCUGUGGUUCUUCUGGGUGCAUCACCCUUAUGGAUGAGAGAUCAAUCUCUCUCUAACAGCUUGCCUUUGGAACGCUUCAUUAACACAACAGAAUUCCAUUCUGUAUUUGUUGAUCAUAAGCCUAAAAUUAUGAGAUACAAUGGCUACUGGCUAGGAUGUGCCUGUAUGUAACAAACAAUAAAAGAUACCGAAACUUCUUUAUAUUACUCUCUCUUACAAAUAUUUUAAUUUUCUCUGUUCUGUAUACUUCUUGGCUGUGCCAGCCUCGGUCAUCUUUACAUAUGAUCUGUUGCCUAUCAACCUCACCUCACCAUUGAACAUUGGACCUGAAACUACGACGCAAAAUCCCUCAUGACUCAAGAUUGAAUAACUGCGCAUCGAUACACUUUCAUAAUCAUAAGCUAGCACUUAUCAUCCCAGCUCAGAAGAAUCACCGUGCACCUCCAUAUGAUGUAGAGACGCGUUCUUUGCUCCUUAACAAGCCUUGAACACCUUCGCCAUGAUCGGAGUUUUGGGAAUCGCUGCGAUGGAGAUUGUCUGGCCAUGUUGGUUUUCAAGCAGAGAGAAGACGCUGAUAUUUGUAUUCUGAGUAAUUGUCAAGGUAGUUAAUUAUGUUUCAGGGAACUGAGGAAGCCAUUUCUUUUCAUGGCCUUAUAUAGAAUGAAGCUUAUGCUAAGAAAUGUGUGGGGAGACAGUAAUUUGGUGGCCUAGUGUGACAAGUGUUGGUCACUGAAUGGAUGGACAUGGCAGGGAAGGUCCCAUUUAAUCAAAGAUGACAAAGCAGACGCUUCGGCUUGUCUCCCUUGCCAAAUCACCAACAAAGGACUGCUGGUUUAAUUAAACUAAUUUGUAGCUUAUCCUAAACUUUGUAGGGUACAGGUUUUGGGCUGCAAUUUGUCUCUCUUUGUGUACUUUACCCCUUAAUUCACACCCACUUCUUCCGGAUUUCCUGGAAUUAUUCCUUCUUAAUAUAUAUUAAUUAUUACAUUAGAAGAUAUUAAAAAACUAAAGAUGUCAGUCACAGUGUGUGACUGUUGAAUCCUGUGAAGAAAUCUAAUUUAUUAAUUCAGAAGAAGCUAAGGGAACAAGAUUGCAAGCAUCUGCAGAUUGGACACAUCUAGAGGAUCAGAGGGCUGAUUUCUUUGGACCAAUAAUUCUUACUUCAUGACAUAUAUAUACUAAAAAUAAUCAAGUACAAGCUGAGAAAAAAAAAAGAGAGAAUACAAGCAAGUAUUCUAGGAGUACUUGUGCCAACAAAGAAGCAUAGUAAUGCAAACCCUCAUAACAUAGAGCUUGCCUCUCUGUUGCCUUACCAUUCUCUUCAACUUGCCAAAUCUCCUGCUACCCAUUUUUCUCAUUAGCCAGAAGCUAUUGACAUUGCACCGAAUCUUAGUUGGACUAUACCCUUAUUUAUUGACAUGAC
rnacentral:lncRNA from 1 species